rnacentral:rRNA from 2 species
UAUACAUGCGAGUCGUGACGAGGUUGAUCUCAGUACACUUGCUUCUAUGACGUUAGCGGCGGACGGGUGAGUAACACGUGGGCAACCUGCCUGUAAGACUGGGAUAACUUCGGGAAACCGAAGCUAAUACCGGAUAGGAUCUUCUCCUUCAUGGGAGAUGAUUGAAAGAUGGUUUCGGCUAUCACUUACAGAUGGGCCCGCGGUGCAUUAGCUAGUUGGUGAGGUAACGGCUCACCAAGGCAACGAUGCAUAGCCGACCUGAGAGGGUGAUCGGCCACACUGGGACUGAGACACGGCCCAGACUCCUACGGGAGGCAGCAGUAGGGAAUCUUCCGCAAUGGACGAAAGUCUGACGGAGCAACGCCGCGUGAGUGAUGAAGGCUUUCGGGUCGUAAAACUCUGUUGUUAGGGAAGAACAAGUACAAGAGUAACUGCUUGUACCUUGACGGUACCUAACCAGAAAGCCACGGCUAACUACGUGCCAGCAGCCG